rnacentral:lncRNA from 1 species
AUCCAUUCCCUCCCCGAGGCCGUGCUCGCUAGCUGCUGCAAUUGAAAGCACCAGCUGAUGACCACCAAACGUUAGCGCACGCAGACAAUUUAACAGCUUCAGAGUGCCCAGACGUAUUAGGCCCUGCUCGCUAGCGUCCGGACCAUCACAGACGACACCUGCGAGGAGCGAUGGAGACCGUCGCGGCGGCGAGCUACGCCGGCAGGGCCACCAGCGCCACCCGCUCCCCGACAUGCUGCGCGGCCAUGUCCUUCUCGCAGUCUUACAGGCCUAAGGUACGGCACUCGUUUUCGCUUCACUGAGAGUAGCGGCUCGUCACGCAGCACGUGCAGAUAAGAUUUUGCUGAUGGCUACUGUUGUGUCGCGUACGCACGGCAGGCGUCCAGGCCGCCGACCACGUUCUACGGCGAGUCGGUGCGGGUGAGCACGGCACGGCCGCUCUCGGCGAGGCAGUCCAAGGCGGCGAGCCGCGCGGCGCUCAACACCCGGUGCGAGAUCGGGGACAGUCUGGUGCGUCGUGUGCAUCGAUCGUCAGUAUAAGCUGUGUGCGCGCCGGUGCGCCGUGCCAUGCUAGGAGAAACCUGACGCUGACCGCGUGCUGGGUCUGUGGCUGUGUGUGUUGGGGUGUGGUGUGGCAGGAGGAGUUCCUGACCAAGGCGACGCCGGACAAGAACCUCAUCAGGCUGCUCACUUGCAUGGGGGAAGCCAUGAGGACGAUCGCCUUCAAGGUCCGGACGGCGUCCUGCGGCGGCACGGCCUGCGUCAACUCCUUCGGCGACGAGCAGCUCGCCGUCGACAUGCUCGCCAACAAGCUCCUCUUCGAUG